rnacentral:misc_RNA from 1 species
UUAUGUACCCCAACACACUCUUGUUCAUUUUAGCCUUCAGGCCACCAAAGCUUUCUUUUCUUCUUUUCUUUUUAUGUGGUGGCAAAUUGCUUGCUUAUUUGGUCUCUCCAAUUCCGCUUCUUAGCAAUCUAACAAAGGGAAAGUGUUUUUUUCUUUCUGGGUUUUCUUGGAACAAGAAGGAAAGAAUUAAUUAGUAUGGGCCUCUCAAGUUUCCCUAGUGCAGCGGAAGGAUUGCUUCCAGUGCUGGUUAUGAACACGGUUUUAUCCGUGGCUCUAUUGAAGAACAUGGUCAGGUCUGUGUUCCAGGUGAUGGGUGCUAAUUGGACUCCGCAAGAUUAUGAGCAAGACCCAGAUGGAUGUCCUCGAGAACAUGCAAGAGAGAGAAGAGUAUCAAUAACCCAGUUCAAGUCCUUCACCCACAAUAAUGGUAGUGGCAGUGGAGUUGGUGGUAGUGGUGGUGAGAGUGGUCGGACAGGUGGUGCUACAGUGGAAUGUUGUGUGUGUCUGUGUGGGUAUGAAGCUGAAGAGGAGGUGAGUGAACUGUCUUGCAAGCAUUUCUUCCACAAAGGAUGCUUGGACAAGUGGUUUGACAAUAAACAUAAUACCUGCCCUCUCUGUCGAUCAAUUCUCUAGAUUGAUGGAAAUUUUUGUCCUAAAUGGAUGUUCAUGGUUUCGAUGGAAGAUAAUUUUUAUUCACUUU